rnacentral:rRNA from 1 species
GAUGAACGCUAGCUACAGGCUUAACACAUGCAAGUCGAGGGGAAACGGCAUUGAGUGCUUGCACUCUUUGGACGUCGACCGGCGCACGGGUGAGUAACGCGUAUCCAACCUUCCCAUUACUGUGGGAUAACCUGCCGAAAGGCAGACUAAUACCGCAUAGUCUUCGAUGACGGCAUCAGAUUUGAAGUAAAGAUUUAUCGGUAAUGGAUGGGGAUGCGUCUGAUUAGCUUGUUGGCGGGGUAACGGCCCACCAAGGCUACGAUCAGUAGGGGUUCUGAGAGGAAGGUCCCCCACAUUGGAACUGAGACACGGUCCAAACUCCUACGGGAGGCAGCAGUGAGGAAUAUUGGUCAAUGGACGGAAGUCUGAACCAGCCAAGUAGCGUGCAGGAUGACGGCCCUAUGGGUUGUAAACUGCUUUUGUAUGGGGAUAAAGUUAGGGACGUGUCCCUAUUUGCAGGUACCAUACGAAUAAGGACCGGCUAAUUCCGUGCCAGCAGCCGCGGUAAUACGGAAGGUCCAGGCGUUAUCCGGAUUUAUUGGGUUUAAAGGGAGCGUAGGCUGGAGAUUAAGUGUGUUGUGAAAUGUAGACGCUCAACGUCUGAAUUGCAGCGCAUACUGGUUUCCUUGAGUACGCACAACGUUGGCGGAAUUCGUCGUGUAGCGGUGAAAUGCUUAGAUAUGACGAAGAACUCCGAUUGCGAAGGCAGCUGACGGGAGCGCAACUGACGCUUAAGCUCGAGGGUGCGGGUAUCAAACAGG